AGAGUUUGAUCCUGGCUCAGGAUGAACGCUGGCUGUGUGCCUAAUACAUGCAUGUCGAGCGAGGUUCUUUUGAACCUAGCGGCGAAUGGGUGAGUAACACGUGCUUAAUCUACCCUUUAGAUUGGAAUACCCAAUGGAAACAUUGGCUAAUGCCGGAUACGCAUGGAAUCGCAUGAUUCCGUUGUGAAAGGAGCCUUUAAAGCUCCGCUAGAGGAUGAGGGUGCGGAACAUUAGUUAGUUGGUAGGGUAAUGGCCUACCAAGACUAUGAUGUUUAGCCGGGUCGAGAGACUGAACGGCCACAUUGGGACUGAGAUACGGCCCAAACUCCUACGGGAGGCAGCAGUAGGGAAUAUUCCACAAUGAGCGAAAGCUUGAUGGAGCGACACAGCGUGCACGAUGAAGGUCUUCGGAUUGUAAAGUGCUGUUAUAGGGAAAGAACACCUGGUUGAGGAAAUGCUUCCAGGCUGACGGUACCCUGUCAGAAAGCGAUGGCUAACUAUGUGCCAGCAGCCGCGGUAAUACAUAGGUCGCAAGCGUUAUCCGGAAUUAUUGGGCGUAAAGCGUUCGUAGGCUGUUUAUUAAGUCUGGAGUCAAAUCCCAGGGCUCAACCCUGGCUCGCUUUGGAUACUGGUAAACUAGAGUUAGAUAGAGGUAAGCGGAAUUCCAUGUGAAGCGGUGAAAUGCGUAGAUAUAUGGAAGAACACCAAGGGCGAAGGCAGCUUACUGGGUCUAUACUGACGCUGAGGGACGAAAGCGUGGGGAGCAAACAGGAUUAGAUACCCUGGUAGUCCACGCCGUAAACGAUGAUCAUUAGUCGGUGGAGAGUUCACUGACGCAGCUAACGCAUUAAAUGAUCCGCCUGAGUAGUAUGCUCGCAAGAGUGAAACUUAAAGGAAUUGACGGGGACCCGCACAAGCGGUGGAGCAUGUGGUUUAAUUUGAAGAUACGCGGAGAACCUUACCCACUCUUGACAUCCUUCGCAAUGCUAUAGAGAUAUAGCGGGGGUUAACGGAGUGACAGAUGGUGCAUGGUUGUCGUCAGCUCGUGUCGUGAGAUGUUUGGUCAAGUCCUGCAACGAGCGCAACCCCUAUCUUUAGUUACUAACGAGUCAUGUCGAGGACUCUAGAGAUACUGCCUGGGUAACUGGGAGGAAGGUGGGGAUGACGUCAAAUCAUCAUGCCUCUUACGAGUGGGGCAACACACGUGCUACAAUGGUCGGUACAAAGAGAAGCAAUAUGGCGACAUGGAGCAAAUCUCAAAAAGCCGAUCUCAGUUCGGAUUGGAGUCUGCAAUUCGACUCCAUGAAGUCGGAAUCGCUAGUAAUCGCAGAUCAGCUACGCUGCGGUGAAUACGUUCUCGGGUCUUGUACACACCGCCCGUCGCACCAUGGGAGCUGGUAAUACCCAAAGUCGGUUAGCUAACCUCGGAGGCGACCGCCUAAGGUAGGACUGGUGACUGGGGUUAAGUCGUAACAAGGUAUCCCUACC
rnacentral:rRNA from 2 species